rnacentral:lncRNA from 1 species
GAGAUUUCGGUCAUAGGAUUGCACAAUGUCCCAAGAACCCUCCACCGAAAAGAGAUGAAAAAGAGGAAGAAAUAACAUUGGCAAGCCUAGGACCAAGUCGAGGACGUGUGUUUCAGCUUUCAGGCAACCAAAAUUAAGGUAUGAAACUCUUUUAUUAAUUGCAUUUAGUAAUUAGAUAAUGAAUUUCUUGAUUAUGUCAAAUUUGUAUUUUUCUUUAGAUGUUAUUUUUGAAAUUUGGAGGAC